CCACCAGUUGAGCUUUCUCACCCUUUUUCUUUGCUUCCUCCUCUUCCUUUUCCUUUGCAAUUUCAAGAUAUUGAAUCAAAUUCUUCAAGCAAGCCUCAACAUCUUCGGUGGUCGACUUUGGCAUCAAAUUCUCGGCAACAUCAGCUGGUGACAUAUUAGUCUCUCCCAACAACUUUUCAAUAAUUGGAAACAAAUCACCAUGAGACUCAACAUCCAAGUAGUUCUUAGCAAGAACCUUGAAUGCUUGAUAUCUACAAUAGGACAUUUCUAUGUGUUUAUCCAUCCUUCCCCUCCUAAUUAGAGCAGGAUCAAGUUUGUCCACAAAAUUAGUUGUGAAAAUUAUGAUCCGUUCUCCUCCACAUGAUGACCAAAUUCCAUCAAUAGAAUUCAACAAACCCGAAAGAGUUACAUUGCUUUUCCUUUUCUCUUCUUCUUCUUCAUCAUCGUCGUCGUCAUCUUCAUCUUCUUCUUCACUUUUCUUAUCAGUUUUCUCUUUAUUCUCAUUUUUAUCAUUACGAUCUUUCUCCUUUUUCUUCUUCCUUUGACCGGUAAGCUCAAGAGAACAAUCAAUAUCUUCAAUAACGAUAACUGAUUUGCUCGACGUCUCAAUCAAAAGUGUUUUCAACUCAUUGUUAUCCUUGACAGUUGUUAAUUCAAGAUCAUAUACAUCGUAGUUCAUGAAAUUUGCAAUAGCAGAUAUCAUGGUAGAUUUCCCAGUUCCUGGUGGACCAUAGAGUAGAUAACCGCGUUUCCAAGCCUUUCCAACUUUAGCAUAAUACUCUUUCCCUUUCUUGAAUUUAACAAGAUCGUUUAUGAUCUCUUCUUUCUUCUCCGGUUCCAUAGCAAGUGUUUCAAACCUUGCAGGGUGCGCAAAAUUUGUGUGACUCCACCCCGACAUCCACCAACAACCGCUAUUGUUGGUGUAAAGCUUUAGUCGCCUAUUCUUAAAUAUAACAGCCUUUCCUUGGUCCAACACAUGUUGUAUGUAAGAGGAAGUAAUGAGAUCGCGAUGCCUUUUGUGGAAAGUUAGGGUUAAGUAUCUUACCACAUCGAAAUUAGGUCUUCCUGAAGAUGCUUUUCUUGUUGGAGCUUUGCUGUUUGAAGACCACCAAACUUUGACUCCAUUGAACUCAUCCUCAAUCUCUUCUUUGUCGUCCAUGCUAAGGACAAGCGGUGAUUGGCUAUCUUCCACAACUUCGGCUUUAAGUCUCUUGGCUCUUUGACUCGAGUUAGCACCAAGAUAUGUUUGGAUAAUUGUGUAAGUUUCGCUUUGUUUGAGACGCUCGUCCGAUGAUUCAUAAAAAGUUAUUUGGACGUUAAGGGGACAUAAGGUCUGUAAAUUUGUUCAUGUGCUUUUCAACAAACUUAUGAAGAUCAGAUGGGCAGAAUUGCUCAUACAUGGCAUAAAGAAACAUUAGGCUAGCGGCAAUUGAGCCUAAUUGUGACAAUAUUUCCCCAAUUCCCAUUGCCAUCUCUAAUACUUAGAAACUAUUGUGCCUAUUCUUAUGUUUUUUUUUGUGGGUGUUGGUUUAACCUAUAUGGUAUGAUUUUAUAAGGAGUAGUGAUUUAGGUUUUGUAUCUUGGCGACCAAGUUAUCUAGGAGACAUACGAUUUGUUGAUUUUGUGGGCGUGUUGAAAUUGGAAACUAGCAGCCAGAUUAAAAAGAAAAUAUAAAAACGAAAAAAAUAUAUUUUAUUUGUAUACUCAAUUAGGCAAAUAUAUCUAUUUAACUCCACCAAAAAUAAAAUAAAAAAUUUAAUUAAUAUAAUUUAAUGGUGUACAAUUAUUUUAUACUGUGAGAGAGUAUAUAUUAAUUAAACAAUAAAAUAAAAACUGUUUAAUUAAUUUGUAUCUCCAAUUUGUACAAUUAUUUUAGAUUGAGAGAGCAUAUUAAUUGUUUUUUGAGUAAAGGACAUCAAUUUAUUAAUUCAGAAGAGUAGUGAAAUUAUAAAUAAAAAUUGUCUCUGAAGCAUUACAUGCUAUUGAAAGAGUCAUGAGGUGCCUUAAAAAGACUAUGACUAUAUGCUUAUAUUAUGAAAUGUAUCCUAUUGUACUUGAAUGGUACAAUUAUACAAGAUGGAACAUUGAUAAUGUCUCUAUAGUUAGUAUUUUUAGAGUCACUUUUAAGUAGUUUUAAGUUAAAUUGAAUCAAUUCAAAGUGUGUUUUGGAGUCAAACUGAGAUAAAAAGGAUUUUAAAAAUAUUUAGUUGUGUUAAUUAUUUUUGUUAUUAAUUUUCACUAACUGGAUGAAUUCUUGGAGUUUUUGUUCUCUUAAUUUUUAGGUAAUAAAUUGAGCUGUUGGAGUGAAAAAAAAAAACCAACGAUCAUGUUCAACGCAUAAGCCAAAGAAGGGCUGAACUUGUUUCCAUAAGAAAAGUGCAGAACAAAUUUCAAUCAUGCUUAAUUCUAAUCUUAAAUUCACUAAGGAAUUAGGGAUUAUUUUAGGAUUAAUGAUUUUGUCACUAAGGAAUUAGGGCAAGAAUAAAUUAGAGAAUUCGGUAGUGAUACGAUAAGUCUAUUCAAUGGUCAUAUUCAAGUUGUUAACUCAAGAUAGUCAUCUGGUGAAACUCAUCCCUGACAAUCUUAUUAUUAUAGUUCAAUCCAAUUUUACUUUACUUAAUUUUCAUUAUUACAAUCACACAAAUUCAGUACCUUUUUGUUCAAUUAAGUCACAAAUAUUAUUCGACAGUAUAACGCGAUCCUCGAGUUCGACACUUGGUCUUACCGUUUUAAUUUUACUACUUGCACGAUUUCGUACACUUGCGAAAAUCGCUAUCAAAUUUUUGGCGCCGCUGCCGGGGAUUGCCAUAUCAUUGUUGAAUUUUAUUUUUGCUUAAUUUUAUUUUUUGCUCUGCAAUAAAAUUUUUGUUUUUAUUUUAUUUUUAUUUGUUUAGUUUUCUAAUGUCGAGUUCUAGUGAUUUUUUUCUUCUUUGUUGAGAUAAUUAACCACCACAUAGUAUGGAAGAAUUCGACGAUUAUCUUCUUUUACAACUUUUGGAUGAAACUGAGACUUGUCUUCUUUCUGCACAAUGUCGUAUACUUGAGGGGCAGAUCAUGAGAGAUGCAUUUGAAAAAGAUCUCCUUCAGGUUCUACCUCAUAGAUUUGAUUUUUGUAGCGAAGGACAUAUAAGUGACACUUUUGAUUAUUAUGUCCUACCAUCAAAAGGUGAAGAAUUAUUGGUCUUGGAAGCAGAAGAAGAUGAGUUUUUCAUGAAAAAGAUUAAUUUUAAGCAAAUGCUACCUACUCAAAUACUUCACAAAGAUUCAUAUGACAAGAUCUUUCGUUCCAAGGACGUUUUGAUUGAAUUCAUGAAUAAUAAUGAAGGUUCAAUCGAAAUAUUUGAGAGUCAAUGUGAAAGGUUAUUUGAGCGAGUGGUUGAGUUUGAGAAGUUUAAGAUUGGAGAUAAGUUCAGUGUUGUGGGAAAGAAAGAAGAUGAGGGAGAAUCAAUAAACAUUAAGGAUGGUAUAGUUGGUAAGGAUACUCAAAAGUCCCAACUUUGGGGGGAUUUAGAUGCCCAACCAAAUAUUCAUCAACAAAACAUUUCUCCAAUUUAUUUUAGCGACAAGGCAGGGGAAAAGGAAGAGAUUGAUGAUGUAACGCCCACUUUCGUUUAAUCGUUUAUUUAAUCGAGUUUAGGUGAUUAUAUUAUAAUUAUAUAAUAUAUGCAUGAUUUUGGUAUGUUUUGAUGAUUUAUGAUGUUUUGAUCGAUGACGUGAUGAGUUAUGAGUUUUGGAGGAUUUGAUAAGGAUAUGAGAAUUAUUUUAUUGUUAAAUAAAAUAAAGAUUUAAAAAUAAUAUAAAAUAUUUAGUUGAGUGCUGUUUUGAUAUUUUAGAUAGUUUUGGGGGAGAAAGUGAGAUAAGAUAAGUAAUUAAGAAGAGGUAUAUAAAGGUUAGACCUAGUUUUAGAAAAACAUUGUACGAACGACUGUUUUGGAGAAAAAAGAGAAAAGCUUAGAGAGGACCAAGAGACCAAGAGUGCUGCGAUUUUCUUCAAACAAGGUAAGGGUGAGACUAAUAAUUCAAUAACGUUGAUCGUUGUAAUUCUGAUGAUUAAUUGACAAAGUAAGGAUUGAUUUAGAAAAGUUUUGGAAUUAGGUCAAAACCUUAAAAAUUGAUGAUCAAACGGUAAAACUUGUUUAGAUUGAUGUAGAAACCGUCCUUUAACCUUAGAACAUGUUUAAGAUGGAUUAUGAAAUCAAAAUUAGGCUUUGAACCAUGUUGUGUGUUGGAUUUUUGAGAAAAACCCUAGUCUGCCCGUGCUUCUGUUCAUCGCUCGCCACGGCGAGUGAUGAGCCUCGCCUCGCGAGUGAUGAACUUCAUCGCUCGCCACGCGAGCCCUUCCCUUCGCCUCGCGAGUUGUUUAGUUCAACUCGCCAUGGCGAGCAAUCCCCUUCGCCUCGCGAGUUGUGUGAUGCAGCUCGCCACUGCGAGCCACCUUACUCGCCAUAGCGAGCCAAGGCAGAGUGUAUGUUAGAUUUCGUGUUUCGACCUUUUUAGUUGGACCUUGAGUGCCUUGAGUGCCUGAACAUACCUAGUAUUGAUUAGGAAUGAAUGUAGGAUCAGAGGGAACCCAGAACAACCUUAGUUUGGGAGUUGAGUGGUGCUCGCCAUGGCGAGUAAGUACUCUCGCCUCGCGAGUACAACCAGAAUGAACUUGUUUAUGUGUUUGUGCGAUCUGUGUCGCACUUGUUGAUCAAGAGUGAACCCCUAACUAGUAAUGAGACCUAGUGAUGUCGUUAAAUGCAGUCUGUAGAGUUGUUUAAGUCAUGAUAAUAUUAAUUGAACAUGAGCUAAUGUAAUGUACAUUUAUGCAAGAUAUGAAGAUUUGAUAAUGAUACAAUUUAUGUGCUAUUGAUAUAAUGAUAUCAUCUUGUUAUGUGACCUGUUUAUGCUGCUUCCGUUAUUUAACUAAGUGCAUAAGUAUAUGAUGAAGUUUAGCUCCAAAUUAUUGGAUGCAUAUUGAUAAGUUGAUUACGAUGUUUUGUUCAUAUGUGUCCAUGCAUAGCAUCUCAUUGAGCUUAGUCCUCACCACGAAUAUUAGGAGCUUUGUCCUCCGCACGUUUUAUAGGAGCUUUGUCCUCCGCACGAUUAAAGUAUAUUAAUACUUAUGAUGACGAUUGGUACCACAUGCAUAUAAGGAGUCUAAGAGCAUUGUCACAUUGUCAUGAUUAAGAUGCCUUGUUGAUAAUGAAUGAAUACGUGAUUAAGUGAUAAGUGUUUAUUGAUUAUGUUAUGUCGUUGAUAAUAAUUGGAUGUAUGAUUAUGUGAUAACUGUUUAGCAUUUAUGCAAAGUUAAUAAUGGAAUGAUUAUGAUGUUAAUUUAUGAUUCACGAUUACACUGAUUAAUGUUAUUUUAUUAUGAAAUCUCACCCCUUCUGCUUGAAAAUGUUGCCCUUCGUAUGGGUAACUUGCAGGUGAUCGUGCUUAGUGUGCAGUUGCCGUCGUGAGUGACCUUGCCUUCACUGUGUCGUCUAGGUCGCUCUGAUACGUAACGGGAUGGGGUUAAUGCUAUAACAUGCUUCAUUCUCUUACGUGAUUAAUAUGAUAUUUUUAUAAUGUUUAAGAUAUUGGUUAAAUUAUUAUUUAACUGUUGGAUUUACGUUAUAUGUGAUAUCCCGUUGUUUGAUGUUUACUCUGAUAAAUAUUAUGUUUUUAAAGAAGUUUUGCUAUUGGGAAAACGGGGUGUUACAAUUGGUAUCAGAGCAGGUCGGUCCGUCCGGUCAAUUAGAGAGUCGUGUUGAGUCUUAGUAAUAUUUAUAUUACUAUCUUAUGUUGUUAUUGCUACUUUUGUAGAAUAUCAGGAAUGGCCGGAAGAAACGAUGCUGCGUUAGCUGCUGCUCUACAAGUUGUUGCCCAAGCUGUGGGACAACAACCUAAUGCAAAUGCUGGUGCGAACGCUGAAGCUAGGAUGUUGGAGACGUUCAUGAAGAAGAACCCUCCGACUUUCAAAGGACGUUAUGACCCUGAUGGAGCCCAGACGUGGCUUAAGGAGAUUGAGAGGAUUUUCCGGGUUAUGCAGUGCAUUGAGGAUCAGAAAGUGCGGUUUGGUACUCAUCAGCUAGCCGAGGAAGCUGAUGACUGGUGGGUUGCUCUUCUGCCUACCCUUGGGCAGGAGGGAGCUGUUGUGACUUGGGCUGUUUUCAGGAGAGAGUUCCUGAGAAGAUACUUUCCAGAAGAUGUUCGCGGGAAGAAGGAGAUCGAGUUCCUUGAGUUGAAGCAAGGAAACAUGUCUGUGACAGAGUAUGCUGCCAAGUUCGUGGAGCUGUCGAAGUUCUACCCGCACUAUACUGCUGAGAAUGCUGAGUUCUCGAGAUGCAUCAAGUUCGAGAAUGGUUUGAGGCCCGACAUCAAGAGGGCGAUUGGAUACCAACAGCUUAGAGUUUUUCAGGAUUUGGUCAAUAGCUGCAGGAUCUAUGAAGAGGAUACCAAGGCUCACUACAAGAUAGUGAAUGAGAGGAAGGGCAAGGGACAACAGAGUCGUCCUAAGCUGUACAGUGCCCCUGCUGAUAAAGGGAAACAGAAGAUGGUCGAUGUUAGGCGGCCUAAGAAGAAGGAUGCUACAGAGAUUGUGUGUUUCAAUUGUGGUGGGAAAGGCCACAAAAGCAACGUCUGCCCUGAGGAAAUCAAGAAGUGUGUCCGGUGUGGCAAGAAAGGUCAUGUUGUAGCUGACUGCAAUUGUACGGACAUUGUGUGCUUUAAUUGCAAUGGAGAGGGUCACAUUAGUUCACAGUGUACUCAGCCUAAGAGGGCACCGACUACUGGUAGAGUCUUUGCUUUGACUGGUACUCAGACAGAGAACGAGGAUCGUUUGAUCAGAGGUACUUGCUAUAUUAAUAAUACUCCUUUAGUUGCUAUUAUUGAUACUGGUGCUACGCAUUGUUUUAUUGCUUUCGAUUGUGUUUCUGCUUUGGGUCUUGAUUUGUCUGAUAUGAAUGGAGAGAUGGUUGUCGAAACUCCAGCUAAGGGUUCGGUGACUACUUCUCUCGUAUGUUUGAAAUGUCCUUUGUCUAUGUUUGGUCGUGAUUUCGAAAUGGAUUUAGUUUGUCUACCUUUGAGCGGUAUGGAUGUGAUUCUGGGUAUGAACUGGUUAGAGUACAACCACGUUCUUAUUAAUUGUUUUAGCAAGUCAGUGCAUUUCUCUUCCGUCGAAGAGGAAAGUGGUGCAGAGUUUUUUAUCUACUAAGCAGCUGAAGCAACUAGAACGCGACGGUAUCUUGAUGUUUUCGUUAAUGGCUACGUUAUCUUUUGAGAAUCAAGCAGUGAUUGAUAGGUUACCGGUGGUGUGUGAUUUUCCUGAAGUUUUUCCAGAUGAGAUUCCUGAUGUGCCUCCAGAGAGAGAAGUUGAGUUUUCUAUUGAUCUUGUUCCUGGAACGAAGCCGGUCUCGAUGGCACCUUAUCGUAUGUCUGCUUCCGAGUUAUCUGAGUUGAAGAAACAGUUGGAGGACUUGCUUGAGAAGAAGUUUGUUAGACCAAGUGUUUCACCUUGGGGAGCACCGGUUUUGUUAGUAAAGAAGAAAGAUGGUAGUAUGCGGUUAUGUAUUGAUUAUCGGCAGUUGAACAAGGUAACUAUCAAGAAUAGGUAUCCACUUCCGAGAAUUGAUGAUUUGAUGGAUCAGUUAGUGGGUGCACGUGUUUUUAGCAAGAUUGAUUUGAGGUCGGGUUAUCACCAGAUUAAAGUAAAGGAUGAAGAUAUGCAGAAGACAGCUUUCAGAACGCGUUAUGGUCACUAUGAAUAUAAAGUUAUGCCUUUUGGUGUUACCAAUGCACCUGGAGUGUUUAUGGAGUAUAUGAAUCGCAUCUUCCAUGCAUUUUUGGAUCGGUUUGUGGUUAUGUUUAUCGACGAUAUUUUGAUUUACUCCAAGACUGAAGAAGAACAUGCUGAGCAUCUGAAGAUUGUUUUGCAAGUGUUGAAGGAGAAGAAGCUUUAUGCUAAAUUGUCUAAGUGUGAAUUUUGGUUGAAAGAAGUGAGUUUCCUUGGCCAUGUUAUUUCCGGAGAUGGUAUUGCUGUGGAUCCGUCUAAAGUCGAAGUUGUAUCGCAAUGGGAUACUCCUAAGUCCGUUACUGAGAUUAGAAGUUUCUUGGGUUUAGCUGGUUACUAUAGAAGGUUUAUUGAAGGGUUUUCUAAGUUAGCUCUUCCGCUAACGCAGUUGACUUGUAAAGGUAAAACUUUUGUGUGGGACGUCCAUUGUGAGAACAGUUUCAGUGAAUUGAAGAAGCGUUUGACGACUGCUCCAGUUUUGAUUUUGCCGAAGUCGGAUGAACCUUUUGUGGUGUAUUGUGAUGCGUCCAAGUUGGGUUUAGGAGGUGUACUUAUGCAAGAAGGUAAAGUGGUAGCUUAUGCUUCAAGACAGUUGAGAAUUCAUGAGAAGAAUUAUCCUACGCAUGAUCUCGAGUUAGCGGCCGUAGUCUUUGUAUUGAAGAUAUGGAGACAUUACUUGUAUGGUUCGAGAUUUGAGGUGUUUAGUGAUCACAAGAGUUUGAAGUAUUUGUUCGAUCAGAAGGAAUUGAAUAUGAGACAGCGAAGAUGGCUUGAAUUGUUGAAAGAUUAUGACUUUGGUUUGAAUUAUCAUCCAGGUAAAGCUAAUGUUGUCGCAGAUGCCUUGAGUAGGAAGACAUUGCAUAUGUCCGCUAUGAUGGUCAGAGAGUUCGAAUUGCUUGAACAGUUUAGAGAUAUGAGUUUGGUUUGCGAAUGGUCACCUCAGAGUGUGAAACUGGGUAUGCUGAAGAUUGAUAGUGAGUUUCUGAAAAAUAUCAAGGAAGCACAGAAAGUUGAUGUAAAGUUUGAGGACUUGUUGGUUGCUAGAGAUCAGACUGAAGACAAUGAUUUUAAAAUCGAUGAUCAAGGUGUGUUGAGAUUCCGAGGAAGAAUUUGUAUCCCAGACAAUGGAGAGAUUAAGAAGAUGAUUCUUGAAGAGAGUCAUAGAAGUAGCUUGAGUAUUCAUCCGGGAGCUACGAAGAUGUAUCAUGAUUUAAAGAAGAUUUUUUGGUGGUCUGGUUUGAAACGAGAUGUGGCACAGUUUGUGUAUUCCUGUUUAGUUUGUCAGAAGUCGAAAGUUGAGCAUCAGAAACCUGCUGGGAUGAUGGUGCCUUUAGACGUGCCAGAAUGGAAAUGGGAUAGUAUAUCCAUGGAUUUUGUGACGAGUUUGCCGAAUACUCCUAGAGGGAACGACGCAAUUUGGGUUAUUGUGGAUAGAUUGACGAAGUCGGCUCAUUUUCUACCGAUUAAUAUUAGUUUCCCUGUUGCCUAGUUGGCAGAGAUUUAUAUCAAGGAGAUUGUGAACUUGCAUGGUGUUCCUUCGAGCAUUGUGUCAGAUAGAGAUCCAAGAUUUACUUCUAGAUUUUGGAAAAGUUUGCAAGAGGCUUUGGGUUCGAAGUUGAGGUUGAGUUCGGCGUAUCAUCCGCAGACAGAUGGUCAGUCGGAGAGGACAAUUCAGUCGCUAGAGGAUUUGUUGAGAAUUUGUGUUCUUGAGCAAGGAGGAACUUGGGAUAGUCAUCUUCCGUUGAUCGAGUUCACAUACAAUAAUAGUUAUCAUUCAAGUAUUGGAAUGGCACCUUUCGAGGCUUUAUAUGGUCGGAGAUGCAGAACCCCGUUGUGCUGGUUUGAGUCGGGUGAAAGAGUGGUCUUAGGACCAGAGAUUGUUCAGCAAACUACUGAGAAAGUUCGGAUGAUCCAAGAGAAAAUGAAGGCGUCGCAGAAUCGACAAAAGAGUUAUCAUGAUAAGCGUAGAAAAGAUUUUGAGUUUCAAGAAGGAGACCACGAGUUUUUGAGAGUCACUCCUAUGACUGGUGUAGGACGUGCUUUGAAGUCAAAUAAGUUGACCCCGAAGUUCAUUGGUCCGUAUCAGAUAUUGGAAAGAGUUGGAACAGUGGCUUACCGAGUGGGUUUACCGCCGCAUCUUUCGAAUUUGCACAACGUUUUCCAUGUGUCGCAACUUCGAAAGUAUGUUCCGGAUCCAUCUCAUGUAAUCCAAAGUGACGAUGUGCAAGUUAGAGACAACCUUACGGUAGAGACUUUACCGGUGAGGAUUGAUGAUCGUAAAGUGAAGACGUUGAGAGGCAAGGAGAUACCUCUCGUGAGAGUCGUUUGGACGGGAGCGACUGGUGAAAGCUUGACGUGGGAGCUUGAGAGUAAGAUGCUGGAGUCUUAUCCAGAGUUGUUUGCUUGAGGUAAAUUUUCGAGGACGAAAAUCUUUUAAGUGGGGGAGAGUUGUAACGCCCACUUUCGUUUAAUCGUUUAUUUAAUCGAGUUUAGGUGAUUAUAUUAUAAUUAUAUAAUAUAUGCAUGAUUUUGGUAUGUUUUGAUGAUUUAUGAUGUUUUGAUCGAUGACGUGAUGAGUUAUGAGUUUUGGAAGAUUUGAUAAGGAUAUGAGAAUUAUUUUAUUGUUAAAUAAAAUAAAGAUUUGAAAAUAAUAUAAAAUAUUUAGUUGAGGGCUGUUUUGAUAUUUUAGAUAGUUUUGGGGGAGAAAGUGAGAUAAGAUAAGUAAUUAAGAAGAGGUAUAUAAAGGUUAGACCUAGUUUUAGAAAAACAUUGUACGAACGACUGUUUUGGAGAAAAAAGAGAAAAGCUUAGAGAGGACCAAGAGACCAAGAGUGCUGCGAUUUUCUUCAAACAAGGUAAGGGUGAGACUAAUAAUUCAAUAACGUUGAUCGUUGUAAUUUUGAUGAUUAAUUGACAAAGUAAGGAUUGAUUUAGAAAAGUUUUGGAAUUAGGUCAAAACCUUAAAAAUUGAUGAUCAAACGGUAAAACUUGUUUAGAUUGAUGUAGAAACCGUCCUUUAACCUUAGAACAUGUUUAAGAUGGAUUAUGAAAUCAAAAUUAGGCUUUGAACCAUGUUGUGUGUUGGAUUUUUGAGAAAAACCCUAGUCUGCCCGUGCUUCUGUUCAUCGCUCGCCACGGCGAGUGAUGAGCCUCACCUCGCGAGUGAUGAACUUCAUCGCUCGCCACGCGAGCCCUUCCCUUCGCCUCGCGAGUUGUUUAGUUCAACUCGCCAUGGCGAGCAAUCCCCUUCGCCUCGCGAGUUGUGUGAUGCAGCUCGCCACUGCGAGCCACCUUACUCGCCAUAGCGAGCUAAGGCAGAGUGUAUGUUAGAUUUCGUGUUUCGACCUUUUUAGUUGGACCUUGAGUGCCUUGAGUGCCUGAACAUACCUAGUAUUGAUUAGGAAUGAAUGUAGGAUCAGAGGGAACCCAGAACAACCUUAGUUUGGGAGUUGAGUGGUGCUCGCCAUGGCGAGUAAGUACUCUCGCCUCGCGAGUACAACCAGAAUGAACUUGUUUAUGUGUUUGUGCGAUCUGUGUCGCACUUGUUGAUCAAGAGUGAACCCCUAACUAGUAAUGAGACCUAGUGAUGUCGUUAAAUGCAGUCUGUAGAGUUGUUUAAGUCAUGAUAAUAUUAAUUGAACAUGAGCUAAUGUAAUGUACAUUUAUGCAAGAUAUGAAGAUUUGAUAAUGAUACAAUUUAUGUGCUAUUGAUAUAAUGAUAUCAUCUUGUUAUGUGACCUGUUUAUGCUGCUUCCGUUAUUUAACUAAGUGCAUAAGUAUAUGAUGAAGUUUAGCUCCAAAUUAUUGGAUGCAUAUUGAUAAGUUGAUUACGAUGUUUUGUUCAUAUGUGUCCAUGCAUAGCAUCUCAUUGAGCUUAGUCCUCACCACGAAUAUUAGGAGCUUUGUCCUCCGCACGUUUUAUAGGAGCUUUGUCCUCCGCACGAUUAAAGUAUAUUAAUACUUAUGAUGACGAUUGGUACCACAUGCAUAUAAGGAGUCUAAGAGCAUUGUCACAUUGUCAUGAUUAAGAUGCCUUGUUGAUAAUGAAUGAAUACGUGAUUAAGUGAUAAGUGUUUAUUGAUUAUGUUAUGUCGUUGAUAAUAAUUGGAUGUAUGAUUAUGUGAUAACUGUUUAGCAUUUAUGCAAAGUUAAUAAUGGAAUGAUUAUGAUGUUAAUUUAUGAUUCACGAUUACACUGAUUAAUGUUAUUUUAUUAUGAAAUCUCACCCCUUCUGCUUGAAAAUGUUGCCCUUCGUAUGGGUAACUUGCAGGUGAUCGUGCUUAGUGUGCAGUUGCCGUCGUGAGUGGCCUUGCCUUCACUGUGUCGUCUAGGUCGCUCUGAUACGUAACGGGAUGGGGUUAAUGCUAUAACAUGCUUCAUUCUCUUACGUGACUAAUAUGAUAUUUUUAUAAUGUUUAAGAUAUUGGUUAAAUUAUUAUUUAACUGUUGGAUUUACGUUAUAUGUGAUAUCCCGUUGUUUGAUGUUGACUCUGAUAAAUGUUAUGUUUUUAAAGAAGUUUUGAUAUUGGGAAAACGGGGUGUUACAGAUGAAGUCCUAGAUGCCAUUUAUGCCUUGUUCAUUGUUGUCCACUUGAAAAGGAUAUGGAAACAACAUCAUCUAUUUUUCAAGUUCAUGGAGUUCUUACCCAACAAAAGGAAGAAGAAGGAUGAUGAGUUCUUUGUAUGAUAUAUGCCACCUUAACAGUGGUUGAUGCGUCAAGCUAAUGACAUUAAAAAAGCGCUUAGUGGGAGGCAACCCACGUCAGUAAGCAAUUUUCUAUAUGUUUUUUUCUCUUUAUGUUUUUUUUUAUUGUUCUCAAAUAAAAAUUAUUAUCACAUAACCACUUAUUGGUUGCCACUCGUAGCAUUGAUUGUUGAGUUUGCAUGAAUAUUUUAACCUUUCCAUCUCAAAAAAAAAAAAAAUUGUUUUUGUCUCAGAGAAUUAUUCUGACCGCCAAGGCAGAAGGCUAGCUUACCGACAAACUUCAAGAGCAUAAUGGCUACGGGGCUUGCUGCAGAAGAUAUUCAUCAGAAUCACCAUCUCUUUUUCUAUAGCAUAACCGGUGAGAUUUGAGCCAAACAUUUUUCACUUUUUUCUAUAAUUCUUUCAUAUGUGAGUAUCCAUGUUUAAAUGUUAUUUUUCUAGAGCUUGCAUUGGUUCUCUACAGACUAUUGGUCGUAUUUUCAUACACACGAGGCAUUUGUUUGGUACUCUGAGCCUUUUCAAGCCACCCUUAUUAUUAUGAUUAUCCUUUGCUAACCCUUUUGAGCCUUCAUGCAAAAUUUUAUUUAUUGUUUUGGCGACGAACCAUGUCACAAGUUUUGAACCCACUAUAUUAUAUCUGUUUAAUUUCUUUGGAGUUAGAUAGAGUCAUUGUUUCUUGGUAUUGGUUUGAAACUAAGUUUGGGGUUGCUGUUGGAACCAACAACAUUUUAAAUUUGGAGUGAGUGCUAGUAGAACCUUGGUAAAAAAAUAAAAAACUGAAAGAAAAUUGGUAGACUUAAUAAUAAAAAUUGGUCUGCACAAAAAAAAAAAAAGUAAAUAAAUAAGAGCCAAAGCAUCAAAAAAAUUGGUCUCUUCAAAAAUGAAAAAAAAAAGAAGCAUUUCUACUAGUACUCAUGUUGUUUUGACAAAGAGAUUGAAAGUGAGUAGUACUUUAAUGUUUAGGGAUCCGUAGUGUAUCUAACUCCAAUUCUUUUGAUUAACCUACUUUUCCAAAUAUAUCCCACUUUAACCUAAGCCACGCUAUAACCUUGAAAGACCUUUAAAGUGUGUGUGAUUAUAUGACUUUGAAUGAUUGUUUAGAAUUUCUUCAAGUUCAUAGCAAAAUGCAUUAACAUGUUGAUUUGAGCGGGCAAAUGCCAUGACCAGCCCCACUGGCUUGAGAAUUGGUGAGGAAGAGAAUAGGAAGGAGAGUGUGGUUGAAAGCAUGAACUAUCUUCUCUAAGUUUGCCCCGCUUGAGCAAAAUUGGUAAGUUAGUCAACGCCGGAAGUGGAACGAAUGAGGAUCUGAGCACCCUCUCGGAAAGGUAUGCCAUUUUCAAAUUUGUGCAAUUUCUAACUUUUGUCUAUUUUGUUACUUGAGGACAAGCAACAUAUUAAGUUUGGGGUUGUGAUAAUGUCUCUAUAGUUAGUAUUUUUAGAGUCAUUUUUAAGUAGUUUUAAGUUAAAUUGAAUCAAUUCAAAGUGUGUUUUGGAGUCAAACUGAGAUAAAAAGGAUUUUAAAAAUAUUUAGUUGUGUUAAUUAUUUUUGUUAUUAAUUUUCACUAACUAGAUGAAUUUUUGGAGUUUUUGUUCUCUUAAUUUUUAGGUAAUAAAUUGAGUUGUUGGAGUGAAAAAAAAAAAACCAAAGAUCAUGUUCAACGCAUAAGCCAAAGAAGGGCUGAACUUGUUUCCAUAAGAAAAGUGCAGAACAAAUUUCAAUCAGCUUGAUGUGCGCCCCGCAUGUUAAAAUACACACAUAAGAUUUCUCUUCCUCAUAUUAGUUCCAACGUGGCACCACAUGAUAGGCUAUAAUGCACUCAUUUUAUUCAUGUGGUCCCACCACAACAAGUGACCUUGACAUGAAGAAAGAGAGCACGUGAUUGGAGGAGGGGAAUUAGGUUUCACUUGUUUUGGAAUAUAAAAAGGAGGCAGCUGCAACAAAUACAAGGGACUUUUGGGAACCAGAGAGAAGAAGCAGCGCAUGACAAUGGGAAAGGAAGGCAACGACAAUUAAAGGGAUCCGGAUAGAGAACGACGAUGCAGGGUGACGUUGGUCUUGUCGGAAAAUUUGUCCGGUUUAUUCUCUUUUCUUUGUUGUUUAUUUUCUUUAUCAUGAGUAGCUAAUUUUCAUGUUGUUAGGGAUGAGAGUAUCUAGAUGACAACUUUUGUUAUAUGAUUUUCUUUUGAUUAUUGAAGAAGUUUAUUGAAUCAUUUUUCUUAUCUCUAUUCUUAAUGCUUUUAUUGCUUGGCCGCCUUUAAAUUGAUAUACGGUUUAUAUUGUGAAACAGAAGUUGAAUGAAUUUAUAAACGCUUUCAGAUAAGAAAUUAUUGCCUUUGUAAUCUAGGAAUAGAUGCAAACCCUUGAAACCAAUUACGAAUUCUUGUUCAAUCAUGCUUAAUUCUAAUCUUAAAUUCACUAAGGAAUUAGGGAUUAUUUUAGGAUUAAUGAUUUUUUCACUAAGGAAUUAGGGCAAGAAUAAAUUAGAGAAUUCGGUAAUGAUACGAUAAGUCUAUUCAAUGGUCAUAUUCAAGUUGUUAACUCAAGAUAGUCAUCUGGUGAAACUCAUCCCUGACAAUCUUAUUAUUAUAGUUCAAUCCAAUUUUACUUUACUUAAUUUUCAUUAUUGCAAUCACACAAAUUCAGUACCUUUUUGUUCAAUUAAGUCACAAAUAUUAUUCGACAGUAUAACGCGAUCCUCGAGUUCGACACUCGGUCUUACCGUUUUAAUUUUACUACUUGCACGAUUUCGUACACUGGCGAAAAUCGCUAUCAAACAUCCUUUCAGACAAAUCCAAAGCGAUCAAUGGCUACACAUUUAGUAUCACUGGAGGAGUUGUUUCUUAGAAAAGAAGAAAUAUACAAUAUUGACUCAGUACAUAAUGAAAUUUGAGAUGAGAUCACUAGAGAAAACUAAUGAAGAAACAAGUUGGUAAAAUUCUUGCUAGUUGAGAUCCCCUUAUGGAAAAAACUAUUGCAAGUUGUGUUAACUCAUUGUGAUAGUAACACGACUAUUGUGAAAUCGAGAAUCGUUACUAUAAUGGUAAGAGACGAUAAUUAAGGCACGAACAAAGAACAAUUAUAGCGAUAGCUACUCUUCAAUGGAGCGGUUAAAGUGGAUUUUGUACUGAUGAUAAAUUAGCAAUUCCUUUGUCGAAAUGAUUAACUAGAAAGAAUGUUUGAAACACAUCCAAUAGGAUGAAACUAAUGCCUAAAGAUCACGAGUGAUGGUAAUUACCCAGCCUAUAUGACUGGAGAUCACAAAAAUAUAGGUUCAAUGGGUAAUAACAAGUCAUGUUGUGAUAGAACAUGCUAUGAUAAAAUCUAGAAAAGUCUGAUUCCUGUAGCCAAAUGAGGAUGAGAUAAGAGAAACUCUAAAUGAUAUCAUUACCAUAUGUGGAUUGUAGUACAAAGCUACAAGAGUACUAUUGAACUCACCUAUACGAAUGUGGAACACCGGCCGGUUACUAUGGGAUUUUGAGGCAGAAUACCUAGAACGUUCGUCAAAUUGGGAUAAACGUGCAGGGCCAUAAACACACGAGAAAUAAUAUUUGUACAACUAUCUUGUGACAACUAUUUCUCUCAUACUCAAAUGGUGUUCUUUUUCUCUCUCUUCCUCUCUCUCUCUCUCUCUCUCUCUCUCUCUUUCUCUCUCUCUCUCUCUCUAUUAUUUUUGACCAAUAAGAAGAGAGAGAAACAAAGUUGUCACCAAAGUUGUCAUUAAAUGGAUGUCCAAAUAUCAUUGCUCUAAACGCACAAGCUUUUAGAAUACACCAGAAAAAGGUUGCGUGCAGGUUCUGUGUCUAAGAUCGAGUUUAAUGCCACAAGCAACUCUAGUUAAUUGAAAUUUUACUCGCUAUGCAGAGGUUCAAGUUGUAGACGACACCUUUGUUUAUUAGCAAUCUUAUAAAAACAUCUUUGACGUUAUUUCUGAAACUAUUUUAAAAUCCAAGUGGGGAUUGUUGGAACAUGUGUAAAAAUUGAGUUAAAAAACUAGACACAAAUUCUCACAUUUGGUAGAACUAGUGUUGUGUGAAUUAAAAAAAAGUGGAAGUCCUACAUCGGAUGGUGCACACAUAAUAGUAGUAUAUAGUAGGGGUGUACCUCUAAAGGGGUACAUAAUUAUGUGAACAAAGUAAGCACUAGCGAAAUUUUUUUGAUAUAUAUUUUAUUAUUUGAAAAUGUUAACUUAAAUAAUUAAUUUAAUCAUUAUUAGAAAGUGCUUUUUUAGUCCUCAAGUUUUGCUAAAAUAUUUUAGAACGCAAUCUGAAAUAUUUUCGUAUUCAAUAUAAUAUAUUUCGGUAUUUAUAUGAAAUAUAUUUUUGUACUCAAUAGUAUACUUUUGUACUCAAUUUGCGAUAUUUUUAUACUAGAUCUAAUAUGUGAAUUACUUGUUCCCAAAUUUGCACACAUACUAUUUGUGAAUUUUCUCUAUAAAUUCAGAGCUCACAUAGUUCAUUCCAUACACCGAAAAAUAUUCUGAAACAUUGAAUCAUUUUCUUCGCUCUUCCACUUUGACUUGUGUUAACGAGUCUUUCUUCUCUUCAUCUAGUCCUUUUUCGGGGUAUAAUAUCCCUUGGAAUUAAGAACGGUUUUAUGAGCAUAGUCCCUCAAUAAUUUUUGUCCUUGCGGAAUAAAGAAUAUUUUUAAGAUCAUAGUCCCUUUUCUGGAAUAAUGUCCUGUUCAGAAUUAAGAAUGAUCUUAAAAUAAAAGUAUAUAUAAUCUCUUUUAUAUUUCCUUCCCUUGGAUAAAGUUAUAUGUUAGAAUGGUGAUACCACCAUAUUUGAGUGGUUGAAAUUUCAUAUUGGUAUUUGGAUUUGUUAAAAGUUAGAAUGGUGGUAACAUCAUAUUUGAGUGGUCACAAUACCAUAGUAGAGUGGUCAUAGCACCAUAAUUGAUUGGUUUCAGUACUAAAAUAUGAGUGGCCUUAGUAUCAUAUUGGAGGUGUAAUUUUCGAACGUUGUUUUUACAGCGUAGUAGUUAAUCGUGUUCUUGUAGUUUAACUUGUUUUAUAUAGUCUCCUUUGCAUUACUUUGGACAGUACCAUGGAAUGUCUUAAAGAGAGCGAUAUGGUCGUGACUCAACCUAGUAACAACUUCAGUAAAUUUAUUUUUGGCAAAAUUACAAUUUUAGUCCCUUAACUUAAUUUCAGGUAACAGUUUGGUCCUUUAUCUUUUUUUCAUUUCAAUUUAGUCAUUUUUGUCCAUUUUCAUAUACAUUUUCAAGCUUCAAAUCUAAUAUUCUUAUCCAAACAUAAACGAGGAUCAUAGAUUUGAAGACUGAAAGACCAUAAGAAAAUAAAAUCAUUAAUUUUAAGCUUAAAAAUUCAUAUGAAAAUGGAUAAAAAGGACCAAAUUAAAAUGAAAAAAAGAUAAAGGACCAAACUAUUACCUGAAAUUAAAUUAAGUGAUUAAAAAUGUAACUUUACCUUUAUUUUUUUAAAAUAGAAUUUAAAAAUUCAAAUACAACGGUGUUCCGUUAAAUGUUAUUAAAUGUUAUUCUACAUCAUUAUAUAUGAUGUGUAAUAGUAAAAAAUAAGCUCCAAAUUGGGUUGUGUAAAAAAAAUAAGCCUUAAAAUUUUGUUUCGAUUAAACUAUGACGAGUACAAGUGUAUUUGAUAGGAUGCCCAAUUUAGAGUAGAAGCCAUCACCACAUUCUUCCUUAGCUAAGAAGCCCUCAUGAAAAUGCAUACAUCUUAUUUUAUUACAUACUAUAGAUCUCAAUGCUCCACCCAAUUAACACAAAGAAACAACACAAGAAUAGAACCAUCCAUCACAUGCCAAUUUUUUUUUUUUUGGCACUUUAAAAAAAACCCCAUAUGUCUUGUUUUGAUUUCACACGAAGAAGAGAUACUAUUAAUACAAAGACAACAUUCAAACAAUGAAGCAUUGAAUCCGACACAAACACCGAACACAACAUAAUCAUGUCGCUACCUAUAAUAUAAAAAAUAUAAGACAACGACGCAUUCAUAUAUAUAAUUAAUUUUGUGUGUGGAACUUGGUAAGAGACGGAGGAGGUAUUAAUCAAGCAUGAACAACCAAAGCUAUUAACAACACAAUUCAGACAAAAUUCCCUCAACAUGCCCAAAGGCCAAACCUAAACAUUAUCUUUAAAUGUGUCAAUUCAAAAGCAGCACACAUGAACAUAGUUCAUAACUACAGUUUUAUUAAUUAAAAUGUUUCAAAACAUUACUAAGAAAACUGAAAUUAAUCCAACUAAAAAAAACUGAAAUCAAUCCAAUCUAAAUUAAUGUAGGACAGCAUUCUCCCCAAUCAAAUUUUUAUUAAAAGGGUCUUAUUAAUUAAUGUUCCCGGGAAUUCUUUAAGGAUUCCAAAUUUAGCAAUUGUUUUUUCAAAAAUAACUAUUACAAUUUACAAUGCAUUAAAUACACAAUUUUUCAUAAAAAAAAACUUACCAUUUAAAAUGUUUAAAGAGUGUCUUGGGGGCACUAGUUAACAUUUCCCUUAUUAAAAAAUUUGGAAAAUGUUAAGUAGUGCCCAGUGCCCCCGGAAAAUGUUUUUUUUCGAAAAUUAUGUAUUUUACUUUUUGAAACUUGAAAAAAAGUUGAUUUUAAUGUUGACUUUGCUUUUUCUUUCUAAUUUUGGCUACUUAACUAAUACCCGGAGGCACCGGUUAACAUGACCCAAAAAAGUUCCUCAUAUUUUUCACUUGCCUCCUCCACCUAUUCAUCCUAUAGUUUUGAGCCAAUUCUUGUUUAUCUUUCCCUGCCACCAGUUGAGCUUUCUCACCGUUUUUCUUUGCUUCCUCCUCUUCCUUUUCCUUUGCAAUUUCAAGAUAUUGAAUCAAAUUCUUCAAGCAAGACUCAGCAUCUUCGGUGGUCGACUUUGGCAUCAAAUUCUCGGCAACAUCAGCAGGUGACAUAUUAGUCUCUCCCAACAACUUUUCAAUAAUUGGAAACAAAUCACCAUGAGACUCAACAUCCAAGUAGUUCUUAGCAAGAACCUUGAACGCUUGAUAUCUACAAUAGGACAUUUCUAUGUGUUUAUCCAUCCUUCCCCUCCU
rnacentral:lncRNA from 1 species